AGAAUUAAAAAAUAAACUAAGAAAUAAAAAGGAAAAAGGAAAAAGGAAAAAGGAAAUCCAAAAGAUAUAUCCCAGUCAAAUCGAAUAGCCUGGCCAUUUAUUGCUUCCAUCGUCUUUUCAUGUCCAUCAGCCAUACCUUUUCAGAUAGCCUUUCCCAAAAAAUUUCAAUGUAUCUGCUAUCCUUGACCACUCCCUUCUCCUUCCCCAGACAACUUCAAUCCAGAUUUUCUCUCCAUCUUCCCUCUGGAUCUGCUACUCUACGGACCGUCAUUUCCCCCACCAGGUAUGAUUCAUCUUUUCUCUCUAAAACUUCUUUUACUAAGUUAUCGGUUUGAGUAUUCUUCGAUCUGUGGAUAAAUUGGAAAGUGACAUCUUGAACACUAAAUUUUCUAAUCUGUAUAUCAUGAAUAAUCACUCCGAGAACCGACUUGUCCAUUUCUUUCGAUUGGCAUUUUUUAAUGACUGUUUUUGAAUCCCCCUUUAUUGUUGCUAUUGUUAACCCCAUUUUUAUUACUAAUUUGAUGGCAUCUAAACCUGCGAGGGCUUCUGCUGCGAACGGGGAGGGGAUAUUCAUAUUCUCAUGUAAAAUUGACUUUGAGGCUUUUAAAUCACCCGUCUGGUCUCGAACAACUAUACCUGAGGCCGAUCUGGCAUUUCUUCUGUCAAAGGCUGCGUCAAACUAAACUGUAGUACCCUCGUCGCCUCUGUUUGACCAUUGACUCUUUCGGUAGUAAAGCUCCAUAUUCACCAUAACGCACAACAAAAGGACUGACACUGUUCAUUUGUACUCCUUUCAAAAACCCAAGUUAGCCAUUCCCAUAAACUUUGAUUCCUAUGAACUAUAGCUCAAGAGAGGUUGAUGUGUUGCCAUAUUUCACUGGUUGCAGGACAUAGUCUAAAGAUAUGGCUACUAUCUUCUUCUUCAAGUCUGCACCGAGGACACCGGACAUUGUCUGACACUUUCUUGUAUCUUAGAUUUACUAAUGAAGGGAUGUAGUUCCAGGAGAUUCGCAAUACUAUUAUUUUAAUUUUUGCUGGUAGCUGUAAAUCCCAUAGCUUUCUAUAGAAGUUUUUUGUUUCAGGUUGUAUUAAAUAACUAUUAAGAUCCAAGCUAGAAUAUUGUAAUAGUUUAUAGGCGUUUUUUACUGAGAACUCCCUUGAGGGUUCUUCUUUCCACACCUGGAAAUCUGCAUGUUCUGUCUCUACAAAAGGGAUAUGCAAAAUCUUUUGUGCUAUGUCUGGUUGAAAGGUAUUGCUGAUCAGAUCUCGUUUUCAA